CAUCUAGUUUUUCUAGCUUUGGAAUACUGAUCUUGAUAUGCUAUCAAUUAUUUCAGAUAUCAGAUGAAGGGGGUGGCAUACCAAGAAGUGGUCUUCCAAAGAUUUUCACAUAUCUCUAUAGCACUGCUAAAAAUCCACUCGAGGAAAACGAUGAAGGAAGCUCAGAUGGAGUAAUUAUGGCUGGUUAUGGUUAUGGGCUUCCAAUUAGUCGUCUCUAUGCUCGCUAUUUUGGUGGUGAUUUACAAAUUAUCUCUAUGGAAGGAUAUGAUUUGCAUCCUUGGAUCCUAGUUUGAGUGGUAAAAGUGCAGAACCAGUAUAUCGUGAUGCAAAAGGGAAAGCUAUUUCAAAGGAAGAGCUACUGAAACCAAAGGAGGAAGAGAAACCAAAGUUUACAAAUCUCAAGUACUCCAGAGUUGAAAUUGAUGAAGUGCGGUUCGAGUGGG